UAUUCCAAAAAUAAAACCUCUAACGAUCAAUGAGGUAGGCUAUACAAAAUAUGUAGAAAAAAAAAAGUAUUUUUACAAAAAACUCUUCUAAAAUUUAUUUCUUUUGGUCUUCUAAAGAAAUUUAUUUUAUGGACACACAUAAUAAGCCUUCAGUCUUUGUAACUCAAUUCCAAUACAAUUAUCCCCACAUUACUUGUAUGAAUUUUGCGGCACUUGAAAGUUCAACCAACUUUGAGCUAAUUUAAGUUUAAGAAUGACGUUGUUGUUGAGUGAUGUUAAGUGGAUAAAUUCUUGAAAAUAUCAAUCAUACGCCGUGUGGGUGGAGUGAUAAGUUUUGGUAUUAGCUCACAAUUAACAUUAAUUUGCGUGAUAAAUACGUAAAAUCAAUUACUGGCCAAAGUCAGUACAUUGAUAGAUGACACAUAUCAGCAACUAUGCGCAAUUCAUUAAAUAUGCAUUUAUUUCAAUUAUGUGUCAAGUACUACUAAGGCCUACAUACAUACAUACGUUUACUUGUGUGCAGUGAAAAAUCUUUAAAGUUUCGCCUCGAGCGGUACACACAAAGUUAUUUUCAUGCUAAUUACAAGCGCCACAGUGAACGAGCAUGAGAUACCGUGUGGUACAAGAAGAGAUACAUAUUCUACACUCAUAUAGCCACUUGUGAAACAGUUGAAGUUGCAUCACUUAAGGGAUUUAAAUUUUCAAGUUUUAAUGCAAACCACCUACGUAUGUGAGUGUGUGCAUGUAUGCAUGUAUAUCCUGGCUGACACACAUGCAAAUGCAAGCAUGCAUACAUGAGACGCAAAUUAACUUAUGGAAACAUCGUCUUUGCCUUCGUCUUCAUUUUCAUCCUCAUUGUUGUCGUUGGUUGCCGUUGACAACGCUGGAUAAUACGCAAGGCAUACAAGAGACGGGUCCUGGGGCCUGGGGCGGGGGAGAGUUUGGGCCGGUUUUGAAGUGCCACAGUUGUUGUAUUCAAACGUCUUGACGAGGCUGCCAAAGCAGUAAAAUACCAAAAUUGUUGACUGUGUUUAAUGGGAGUACUUGGAUGCUCUUACUGCAGUUUUGGACGGAUGAACUGAAUAAAUAAUUAGCUAAUAAUAUUAGU